rnacentral:rRNA from 1 species
UGAGUAACCUGCCCCAAACUUUGGGAUAACCCUCGGAAACGGGGGCUAAUACCGGGUAUGACUACGGAUCGCAUGGUCUGUGGUGGAAAGCUUUUGCGGUGUGGGAUGGGCCCGCGGCCUAUCAGCUUGUUGGUGGGGUGAUGGCCUACCAAGGCGACGACGGGUAGCCGGCCUGAGAGGGUGACCGGCCACACUGGGACUGAGACACGGCCCAGACUCCUACGGGAGGCAG